UGGGGAAUAUUGGACAAUGGGCGAAAGCCUGAUCCAGCAAUGCCGCGUGAGUGAUGAAGGCCCUAGGGUUGUAAAGCUCUUUUACCCGGGAUGAUAAUGACAGUACCGGGAGAAUAAGCUCCGGCUAACUUCGUGCCAGCAGCCGCGGUAAUACGAGGGGAGCUAGCGUUGUUCGGAAUUACUGGGCGUAAAGCGCGCGUAGGCGGUUUUUUAAGUCAGAGGUGAAAGCCCGGGGCUCAACCCCGGAAUAGCCUUUGAAACUGGAAAACUAGAAUCUUGGAGAGGUCAGUGGAAUUCCGAGUGUAGAGGUGAAAUUCGUAGAUAUUCGGAAGAACACCAGUGGCGAAGGCGACUGACUGGACAAGUAUUGACGCUGAGGUGCGAAAGCGUGGGGAGCAAACAGG
rnacentral:rRNA from 1 species